rnacentral:rRNA from 1 species
AGUAGAGUGGCGCACGGGUGAGUAACACGUAGGUAAUCUACCUUUGGAUGGGGAAUAACAACCGGAAACGGUUGCUAAUACCGCAUAAUGCAGCGGCACCUAAUGGUGACAGUUGUUAAAGCGGGGGAUCGAAAGACCUCGCGUCUAAAGAGGAGCCCGCGGCGGAUUAGCUAGUUGGUAAGGUAACGGCUUACCAAGGCUACGAUCCGUAGCCGGCCUGAGAGGGCGGUCGGCCACACUGACACUGACAUACGGGUCAGACUCCUACGGGAGGCAGCAGUCGGGAAUUUUGGGCAAUGGGCGAAAGCCUGACCCAGCAACGCCGCGUGAAGGAUGAAAUCCCUCGGGAUGUAAACUUCGCAAGAACGGGAAGAAUAAGUAGGGGACAAUACCCCCUAUGAUGACGGUACCGUUUGUAAGCUCCGGCUAACUCCGUGCCAGCAGCCGCGGUAAUACGGGGGGAGCAAGCGUUGUUCGGAUUUACUGGGCGUAAAGGGCGCGUAGGCGGCCAGCACAAGUCAGUUGUGAAAUCUCCGAGCUUAACUCGGAAAGGUCAACUGAUACUGUGCGGCUAGAGUGCAGAAGGGGCAACUGGAAUUCUUGGUGUAGCGGUGAAAUGCGUAGAUAUCAAGAGGAACACCUGCGGCGAAGGCGGGUUGCUGGGCUGACACUGACGCUGAGGCGCGAAAGCUAGGGGAGCGAACGGGAUUAGAUACCCCGGUAGUCC